UGAUCCUGGCUCAGGACGAACGCUGGCGGUGCGCCUUAUGCAUGCAAGUUGAGCGAAGCUUUUCAGUAGUUUACUACAGAAAAUGACUGAGCGGCGAACGGGUGAGUAACGCGUGAGCAAUCUACCUUAGUUACUGGGAUAGCCCGAGGAAACUCGGAUUAAUACCGGAUAUUCUUAUUUUUUCACAUGAAGUUUUAAGGAAAGGUCAGCCGAACUAAGAUGAGCUCGCGUUCUAUCAGCUAGUUGGUGGGGUAAAAGCCUACCAAGGCAACGACGGAUAGCUGGUCUGAGAGGACGAUCAGCCACACUGGGACUGAGACACGGCCCAGACUCCUACGGGAGGCUGCAGCAGGGAAUAUUGUGCAAUGAGCGAAAGCUUGACACAGCGACACCGCGUGUGGGAUGACGGUUCUAGGAUUGUAAACCACUUUCAGGAGGGAAGAAAAUGACGGUACCUCCACAAGAAGACCCCGCCAACUAUGUGCCAGCAGCCGCGGUAAUACAUAGGGGUCAAGCGUUGUCCGGAUUUAUUGGGCGUAAAGAGCUCGUAGGCGGUUCAACAAGUCGGUCGUAAAAGUUUAGGGCUCAACCCUAAAAUGUCGAUCGAUACUGUUGUGACUAGGAUACGGUAGAGGUGAAUGGAAUUCCGAGUGUAGCGGUGAAAUGCGUAGAUAUUCGGAGGAACACCAAUUGCGAAGGCAGUUCACUGGACCGUGAUCGACGCUGAGGAGCGAAAGCUAGGGGAGCAAACAGGAUUAGAUACCCUGGUAGU
rnacentral:rRNA from 1 species